UACGUAGGGGGCAAGCGUUGUCCGGAAUCAUUGGGCGUAAAGCGCGUGUAGGCGGUCCGGUAAGUCCGCUGUGAAAGUCGGGGGCUUAACCCUCGGAUGCCGGUGGAUACUGUCGGGCUUGAGUACGGAAGAGGCGAGUGGAAUUCCUGGUGUAGCGGUGAAAUGCGCAGAUAUCAGGAGGAACACCAAUGGCGAAGGCAGCUCGCUGGGACGGUACUGACGCUGAGGCGCGAAAGCGUGGGGAGCAAACAGG
rnacentral:rRNA from 1 species